rnacentral:rRNA from 1 species
AGGGUGUAAACGCUGCAGGCUUGGCGUUGGAGGCCCUUUGGGGGCAUUCAGUGCCGGAGAGAAGUUGUUAAGUCUGCUACUUGGGGAGUACGUCCGCAAGGAUGAAACUUAAAGGAAUUGGCGGGGGAGCACCGCAACGGGAGGAGCGUGCGGUUUAAUUGGAUUCAACACCGUAAAACUCACCAGGGAAGACUGUUACAUGAAGGCCGAGAUGAAGACUCUGCUAGAUUUUCAGAGAGGUGGUGCAUGGCCGUUCAGUGACU